AGAAAAGUUUGGCUUAGUUAUGUAGGCGGAAGUUUUUACUGUCGAGGCCCGCUAGCAUUUUAAUUCAGAACACGAGCUUUAGACAACAAUGUCAAAAAAAAAAAACCACUACAUUAGAAGUUUUAGGACUUCGAAUGUAGUGUUUUAAUGGUUCGUUGUAGUUCGCGGCCGUUCAUAGUUUUUCCAUAGGUACGAAUCUUUAUCGCGUUGGUCUGUAGCCGGUAUUAAAUAUUUUUGAAUUAACGGAUGAACAUAGGUAUAAAAACGUGAUCGCCUUUAGUUAAUUUCAUUCUCUUUCAGAUCGCUUAGCGCAUCGUAAACUCGAGUCGGGAAAGAUUUGACAAAAAAUUUGAUGGGUAGUUUUAAUUCUCUUUUAUUUGUUCCAUAUGUACCGUCGUUUUUGUUAAGUCAAUACUAUUCAAUUAUGCAUUUUGCGUCGCUAAUUAUUCUGUUGAGAAGUUGGGAUACGCUUGAUUAAUUUGACUACAAUUUGUUUCUGGGAAUUUAUGGGACCUCACAACGCGUGCGUGCCACGUUAUCAGCAAAUCAGCUAUAUUGCAUUCUAAAUGGAAUUUUAGGCAGGGUGAUGACUAAUGAACCUCUGUCGUUUUUUUUUUCAUCUACCUAUUCGCUGAUAGCCUAAGGGGCUAUUUCAGCUACGCCAUGUCUGGUAAAUGAGCAUACGGAGCUCAACCUGUGAGAGUGUGCUAACACUGGUCCAAGCAAGAGUAGUGGUUCGCAGAAUCGACCAUCGGAUCGGAACCUCAACCUAGUGAGGAGACCCGGCGAGAAACUCAAUGGGUUACCUCUGCCGCUGUUCCCGCUAAGCUACUUACUUUUGUAUAUUAAUAAUGUUAUUUUAAGCUUUUUGUAAUUUUGUUUAAUACUGAAGUUGAUUUAAAAUAAAGCAAGUAACGUGCUU